rnacentral:rRNA from 1 species
UAGUACGAGAGGACCGGAGUGGACGAACCUCUGGUGUUCCGGUUGUCACGCCAGUGGCAUUGCCGGGUAGCUAAGUUCGGAAGGGAUAACCGCUGAAAGCAUCUAAGCGGGAAGCCUCUCCCAAGAUUAGAUCUCUCAGCCCUCGAGGCUGUAAGGGCCCUUGAAGACUACAAGGUUGAUAGGCUGGGUGUGGAAGCACAGUAAUGUGUGAAGCUAACCAGUACUAAUUGCCCGAGAGACUUGGUCAUAUAACACCAAAA